UUUUAAAAUCGGUUCUUAAAUAACUGAUUUUAAAAGUAGCACUUUUAAAAUCAGUCAUAAAAUAACCGAUCUUAAAA
rnacentral:miRNA from 1 species